rnacentral:rRNA from 1 species
AUAGCUGGUUGCUCAAGAAAAGGAUUUAAGUCCCGCCUAAUGUCUAUGCAAUAUAACAAAAUGACGCCGUGACUUUAGAGUAAUUCAAAUAAGGUACAGCCUAUUUGAAACAGGAUACAACCUACACUAAUGGGUAACUUAUAACUCGAUAAUUAAGUGGGCCUAAAAGCAGCCACCUUUUAAAUAGCGUCAAAGCCUGAUUAUUCCUUUUUCUCAAUAACCCAAAUUAAUUAAAACCCUUUACUAAUAUUGAGCAAUUCUAUACUUUUAUAGAACCUAUAAUGUUGAAACUAGUAACAAGAAGAAGACCUUCUCUUAAAUGCAAGUAUAAGUCAGUAAGGACAACCCACUGAUUAUUAACACCAGUGAAACCGCAUUAGCAACCUCACAAGAAAACCCUAAUGAAACGGAUGUUAACCUAACACAAGAGCACUUCAAGAAAGAUAAAAAGAAAGAGAAGGAACUCGGCAAAUAUUAGCCUCGCCUGUUUACCAAAAACAUCGCCUCUUGACUAAUUAUAAGAGGUCCAGCCUGCCCAGUGACUCUGUUUAACGGCCGCGGUAUCCUAACCGUGCGAAGGUAGCGUAAUCACUUGUCCUUUAAAUGCGGACUCGUAUGAAUGGCACCACGAAGGUUAUACUGUCUCCUCUCCCCUAUCAGUGAAACUAAUCUCCCCGUGAAGAAGCGGGGAUAUGAAUAUAAGACGAGAAGACCCUGUGGAGCUUUAAACUAAUUAACAAGUGCUAUUUUCUCAGAAAAUUUCUGAAUGCACAUAUUUACUUUAGCACCAUGAUUUUUAGUUUUAGGUUGGGGAGACCGCGGAGCAUAAACUAACCUCCGCAUUGAACAGGACUUUUUCCUUGAGCAAAAAUCUACAACUUUAAGCACCAACAAAUUGACAUUAAUUGACCCAAUAUUUUGAUCAACGAACCAAGUUACCCCAGGGAUAACAGCGCAAUCUACUUCAAGAGCUCCUAUCGACAAGUGGGUUUACGACCUCGAUGUUGGAUCAGGGUGUCCCAGUGGUGCAGCCGCUACUAAAGGUUCGUUUGUUC